AUUGAACGCUGGCGGCAGGCCUAACACAUGCAAGUCGAGCGGAGCGGCGGACGGGUGAGUGAUUCCUGGGUAUCUGCCUGGUAGUGGGGGAUAACGUCCGGAAACGGGCGCUAAUACCACAUCCUAUCAGAUGAGACUAGGGCGGAGUAGCUAGUUGGUGGAGGAAGGGCCUACCAAGGCGACUAUCCAUAACUGGUCUGAGUGGAUGAUCAGUCACACGGGAACUGAGACACGGUCCAGACUCCUACGGGAGGCAGCAGUGGGGAAUAUUGGACAAUGGGCGAAAGCCUGAUGGAGCAAUGCCGCGUGUGUGAAGAAGGUCUUCGGAUUGUAAAGCACUUUAAGUUGGGAGGCGGUACCAACAGAAUAAGCACCGGCUAACUACGUGCCAGCAGCCGCGGUAAUUC
rnacentral:rRNA from 1 species